GAUGAACGCUGGCGGCGUGCCUAAUACAUGCAAGUCGAGCGAACAGACGCGGCGCUUGCUCCUCUUACGUUAGCGGCGGACGGCUGAUUAACACGUUGCUACCCUCCCUAUAAUACUUGGAUAACUUCGGGACACCUGAGCUAAUACCGGCUCAUAUCUUGAACCGCAUGGUUCAAUAGUGUUCGACGGGUUUGCUGUCACUUAUACAUGGAUCCGCGCCGCAUUAGCUAGUUGGGACGGUAACGGCUUACCAAGGCAACGAUGGGUAGCCGACCGGAGAGGGUGGUAGGCCACACGAGAACGGAGACAGGGUCCAGAGGACUACGGGAGGCAGCAGUAGGGAAUGGGCCGCAAUGGGCGAAAGCCUGACGGAGCAACGGGGCGUGAGUGGUGAAGGCCCUCGGUUCGGAAAAAUGUGUUAUGAGGGAAAAACAAAUGUGUAAGUAACUAUGCAGGUAGUGACGGUACCUAAACAGAAAGCCCCGGCUAACUACGUG
rnacentral:rRNA from 1 species